rnacentral:rRNA from 1 species
GUGGGGAAUCUUCCGCAAUGGACGAAAGUCUGACGGAGCAACGCCGCGUGAGUGAUGAAGGUCUUCGGAUUGUAAAGCUCUGUUAAUCGGGACGAAAGAGCCUAGUGUGAAUAAUGCUAGGAAGUGACGGUACAGGAAUAGAAAGCCACGGCUAACUACGUGCCAGCAGCCGCGGUAAUACGUAGGUGGCAAGCGUUGUCCGGAAUUAUUGGGCGUAAAGCGCGCGCAGGCGGAUCUGCCAGUCUGUCUUAAAAGUUCGGGGCUUAAACCCGUGAUGGGAUGGAAACUACAGAUCUAGAGUAUCGGAGAGGAAAGUGGAAUUCCUAGUGUAGCGGUGAAAUGCGUAGAUAGUAGGAAGAACACCAGUGGCGAAGGCGACCACCUGGACUGAUACUGACACUGAGGUGCGAAAGCGUGGGGAGCAAACAGGAUUAGAAACCCCGGUAGUCC